UCUCUCUCUCUCUCUCUCUCUCUCUCUCUCUCUCUCUCUCUCUCUCGUUCUCUGUUAUUUAACACCUUUUAGCGUAACCAUAUGUAAUCUAACCCUAUGUAAUUCAUAUUAGAGACACAAAGAGGAUUACAACGUGGCAUCUAUUACUAACACCCUUUAAUGGAAUCCAGACCCGUUUAUAGGCACGGGAAGGGGAUUAUAACACGCAAAACUUUAUAUUUAUUCCUUAUUAUUCUAUCUAUCUCAUUUCCACUCCUUUUAUUUCAUCUAUAGACACAAAUAGGGUUAAACAUACUAAAACCUCUAUAUCACAGUUUUAUCUUUAUGUCAUCUAUAGAUGCAGGAAUGGGAUUAAACACCACCAAAACCUCUUUAUUAUCCUCUAUAUCAUCUAUAAGCGCUGAAAUAGAAUUAAACACCAUCAAAACCUCUUUAUUACCCUCUAUAUCAUAAUGUCAUCCCCUUCAUGUCAUCUAUAGGCGCAGGAAUGGGAUUAAACAUCACCGAAACCUCUUUAUUAUCCUUUAUCUUAUCUAUAAGAGCUGAAAUAGAAUUAAACACCAUCAAAACCUCUUUAUUACCCUCUAUAUCACAAUGUCAUCGCCUUCAUGUCACCUAUAGACGCAGGAAUGGGAUUAAACACCACCGAAACUUCUUUAUUAUCCUCUAUCUCAUCUAUAAGCGCUGAAAUAAGGUUAAACACACUAAAACCUCUUUAUUACCUUCUAUAUCACAAUGUCAUCCCCUUUAUAAUAUCUAUAGACGCAGGAAUGGGAUUAAACACCAACGAAACCUCUUUAUUAUCCUCUAUCUCAUCCAUAUACGCUGAAAUAGGGUUAAACACACUAAAACCUCUUUAUUACCCUCUAUAUCACAAUGUCACCCCUUUUAUAAUAUCUAUAGACGCAGGAUUGGGAUUAAACCCCACCAAAACCUCUUUAUUAUCCUCUAUCUCAUCUAUAUGUGCAGUAGUAGGAUUAAACACCAUCAAAGUUUCUUUAUUACCCUCUAUGUCACAAUGUCACCCACCUUUAUGUCAUCUAUAGACGCAUGAAUGGGAUUAAACACGCCUGAAACCUCUAUUAUCCUCUAUCUCAUCUAUAAGCACAGGUAUAGGAUUAAACACCCUCAAAACCUCUUUAUUACCCUCUAUAUCACAUGUUAUCUAUAGAUGCAGGAAUGGGAUUAAACACCACCGAAACCUCUCUAUUAUCUUCUAUCUUAUCUAUAAGCACAGGUAUAGGAUUAAACACCAUUUUUAGCAACAGCAAUCCACUUUUUAGAUACAGGAAGUAGUAAUAAUGCUUCAAAUCACUUCUAACUCCCUUUAUAGACUGAUAAACAGAUUCAAAAUCCCUUAAACUUCCCUAAAUAGGAUCAGAAUCUUUAAAACUGUCCUAAAAUAGGAUUAGAACCCUUAAAACACCCUUUGGACCCUUUUUAAUGCAAUCCAAUCCUCCACACAGACAUUGAGAGAAUGGAGCGGGUGGAGCCUAUUCUGAAGUUCUACGUGGGGCCAACUCUCCUCCACUGGGCGGCAUCAAAGGGCUACCAUGACCUGGUGGUUGACCUCCUUGUUCGGGGCUUGUCUGUGGAUGCUUGUGACCGGUUGGGCCGCACUCCACUGGGGCUGGCCACCUUUGCCGGCCACUCUAGCACUGUCAGCACCCUGCUGCAGGAGAACGCCGCUCUCUCUGCUGAAGCCAACAGACAAGGACUGGAGAAUAAUAUCGCGUGAGGAGGUUGGUCUCUGCUUAGUUCGGGUCAUUGAAGAAACUGCCGUGUGUUCCUUUGACGCGGCGAGGUCAGAAUGCUUCACUCUGCUCUACCUGGCCGCCCAGCAAGGCUACCCGAACAUGAUGCAUCGGCUUGUCCCAGAAGGCCUAUCAAGACCUGCCGGCACCAUAUGAGGGACAUGGAGAUCAGAAAAUAUUAUGACCUUAAGCACAUUGGUGAUGAGGGUCACGAUCACCAACGUCAUGGAGGCCAUACUUGAGUCGGCCUUUCAGUUAAUUCUGCAGCUGUAUAUCGUUGGGACGAAUUACACUGAGCUGGACCAGGCUUAUGAUGUGACACUGGGCAGCAUCCUAUCUUUGUCACCACUGGGCCACAACACCCAGCUCUCAAAACAGGUGUUCUCUGUCCUCAUCUCCCUCGUGUCCCUCACCUGGUCCUUCACGUCCUACCACAGGUUCUCAAAACUCAGAGGGCUGACUAUUUUAGACACACUGCCCCUCCUGUUCACAAUAUUCUUCCAGGUGGUGUCCCGCGCCAUCGCCUGUAUAGUGUUCACUCUGGCACACACAUGGAAGGUGUUUGUAGUGUUGGGUGUACACUUGGUGAUGGUGCUGGUAUUUAAACUCAAGCUGGAGGAGAGGUAGAAGGCCGGCCGUCAGAGAGCCUGCGCACCAAGACAGCUGGAUUGUGGGUGAGGACAGAGUAUCCGAAAGGGUGGAGGGGGGCUGGCCAGUGUGAUAGGGGGCCUCACACCCUCCACCCAUUACCUGGUGCAGGUGACUGCUUACAACUCUGCUAGGAGCUACUCCAGGGCUACUCUACCACCAUCCCCCUUCCUGGAGGCCCCUCCUCCCCUGGGUUAGUGAUGCCCGGGGUGGCCACGACAGAUGUGAGGGUCCUGCUCCCCAUGGUUGCCUCCUGUCUCGCCCUGCUGGCCGCUCUUGUCACUGUUUGUGUUUGCGUCAGGAAGAGUAAGUGGUGGUGGUGAUGGUGGUGGUGGUGGUGUUUAAUGUUAUUACUCUGUUUAUUGGUACUUCUUCAUGUUUUUACUUUCUUUUUUUUUCUUUUUGUUUGCUUCCCUCUUAUUUCUUCCCUCUCCUUCCUUCCUUUUGUUUAUUUUUUGUAUCCUUCCUUCUUUCCUUCCUCUCAUUCCCUGUCUUCCUCUUUUCUUUCCCAUUUCUUGCUUUGUUUCUAUUUUAUUUUUAUUUUCUCGUCUUUAUUUUCUCUUUUUCAUCUUUUUUUCCUGUUCUUUUCCUACACAAUCGUUCUUUCUCAUUUUCCCUUCUCCUUUUUGUACUGGCUGUGCUUUUCAUCUCUUCUGCCAUACAUCAUUCUUUUCUUCUCCUUCACCACUUUUUAUUUAUCAUCCUCCCUCCCUCUUUACCUUUCCUCCUCCUGUGCAUCCCUUAUCUUUCCCUUCCCUGUCAUCUGUAUCUUGACUUCUCCCUUUUCUACAUUCUUCAUUUUCUCUUUGGUUUUCUGUGGCCACCCCCUCUUCCUCUUUUACAUUGCUUUUCUCCUCCAUCCUUGUCGUUCAUGACCUCACUUCCUCUUUAUCUCUUUUUUCUUUAUCACUUCCCCUCUUCACCUUACAUCUCUAUCCCUCAUCUACCUCUUCUCUAUCUCUCUUGACCUCCUUCCUCACCCUACAGAGCCCCCCAUGCCUCUCCAGCAGGUGUCCAGGGAUGGGAACAAAGUAGGUGUGCAGGAGAACAAGGAUAACCACAAACACAGGGAGCAGUUUUAUGCCACAGUGUGCAAGAUGUCACCCCACAGGGACCCCACUGCUGUUGACCGAAUCCCUGGUAAGCAAGAGAACUCAUCCUUCAGGCCACGCUGGGUUCCUAACGACAGGUGAGGUGGAGCAGGCGGCCUCCUCCAUGCGCGAUGGAGGGCUGUCACUCACUGCCAGAUGUGUCGUCAGUAUUGAUGUCUUUCUCGUGACAUCCCGCCCGUGAGGCACUGAACAGAGGGCGUAAGCAGAACUUUCUUUAUACUAUCUAGGGAUUGUGAGUUAUGAGGCUUCCGCUUCGUGAAGUAAGGCGUUAUUGAUCCCGACCAUAAUAAAAUCUACGGUCUUAUGAGACAUUUUGCUAACGUUCGGUGCACGUGUUGAAUCCAUGAACACUCAUAGAAUUGCUCCAUUUGUCAUCUUAUUUACUUGAAUGGAAGAAAGCGUCAGUAAAUAUUUAUGAAAACCAGUACAAUUCUGCUGACUAAUAACGCUACGUGUUCAUAUUUUCACCUUUGUUUUCGUUAAUGUUUAUUAUGGUAGUGUCAACGUGUUCUUGAUUCUGCUGACUAAUAACGCUACGUGUUCAUAUUUUCACCUUUGUUUCCGUUAGUUAAUGUUUAUGAUGGUAGUGUUAACGUCUUCUUCAUCAAUGCUGAUGUUUAAAUUUAACUUUCUUUUGCUAUUACCAGUAUACAUAUUACCAACCCCACCAUCGCUACUGUGCAUUCCCUCCACCACAAUCACCAACACCACUACAACUCCACUAAAACAAUAUUGCUUCUCCCCCAACACCUCACUGCAUGUGCGUGCAUGUUAUUGGCCAGUCCACCAGUCCUAGCGGUCCCCACAAGGAUGUGAAAACCCGCGAGUGUUCUCAUAAGCCAUCCAUCCUUUUUUUCUCGUUAAUAUCGAGAGAGAGAGAGAGAGAGUCCUAAAUUGAGUUCAUAUAAUUCAUUGUGAUUACAUAUUCAGCUUGUAUGAACACUGCCAAUUACAAAAUAUGACUGAUUUAAAUUUAUUUUUACAUUCUUGAUCUUAAUAAAAUACAGGUGUGGUCUCAUAUCAAGACCUCAAAGCAGUGUUUACUCGAUCUUAUUGACUGUUGCAUGAAAAAUUACAAAAUACACUGGUAGUUCACAUCAUUAUGAUUAAUACUGUAUUUUUAGUCAUUUAGUUAUUCUCUCCUGACUUCCAGUUUAUAUUCUACGAUUUUUUUUUUUUUUUUAUAAAAAAUAUUUUGGUGGUAUUUACCAUAUGCAUUUUAAGGGGCUGAAACAUGUAGUAUGGGAGCAUGAGGGAGGACAUUAAAUGUUAUUAUGAUAAGAUGUAUGAGGAACAUGUAUGGACCUAUGGAUCAAGUAAAAAAAUAAGAAAGUGCUAAGAAAGUGCCAAGAAUUGUAAAAAAGAAAGUGCUGAGAAUUGAUCAGAGUCAGGUUGGUCAGAGUCAGCUGACCAACCAGUUGAGGGAGUGUGAUGAUAUCUUAGGCAUGUGGAGAAAGAAUGGAAGAGAUCAGUGAAGACAAGUGAGUCAGGUAAAAGAGGUGUAUGCUAAAGGAAACACUUCAUGGAAAGGAGGGACAACACAGAGACCAUUAGAUAUAAAAGAAGAAGGAAGAGGGACUAUGCAUCACCCAGUGGGUGGAAAGCAGAUGUGAAAGAGUAAACCAUGAUCCAGCCCUAGAAAGCCUCGACAUCUACUGGAAGUUUGUGUGUGCGUGGCCCAUUCAGCUAAUUAAGUCAGAUGAAGGAAAUGGUUUAUUAUGAUUACCAGAGGCAUGCUAAACAAGUGACCGCAGUACAGUGUGGUCAGUGAGGAUCAGUCCUCUACCCACACAGAGGCUUAUAUACUAGAGUGAAGGAAUGCUUGUGGUUGUGAAAUUAAUGUGAAUCUUACUGUUAUAUAUCUCUACUGAACACUACCAAUCUAAUAACAGCCACAAAUUCUCAUUUUUGUCAUUCCUGCCUCUUUUUCAAGAACACUCCGUUCCCAUACCAUAGAGAAAUGAGCAUUUUAGUAGUCACAUCAAGAGUAUGAAUCAUCAGGUAUUAGUUCUGUGAAUGAUCUGUAAACAUGAUACUGCAAAAGAAGCAGUUUUUCUCACUUGAGGAACAAGGUCACUUUCCAAAUUGAUUAAAUCAUGCAUUUAGUAGUCACAUCAAGAGCAUGAAUCAUCAGGUAUUAGUUCUGUGAAUGAUUGUAAACAUGAUACUGCAAAAGAAGUAGCUUUUCUCACUUGAGGAACAAGAUCACUUUCCAAAUUGAUUAAAUCACAUAUAAGUUUGUGCUGACCUUCAAACAGCUUUGCCACCUGAGGGCAGCACUUGGCCAAAUAUCCGAUGAGGGUGCACAGCCUUGCCCGCACAACAGGUACUGGGUGGGUAAUAAGAGUACCCAGCAGCAAGAGAACUGUGGUGUCACUACCUAAGAUCUUUCCCACAACUGUUUGACUCUCAGGUGUUUUUCUCAAGAUGUGAUUCAGUAUUGCCAGCAUGUCUGCAACUAAACUUGGAAGCACAUUAUCUAGGCUUAGGAUCUUUUCAUCACGUUAAAAGCAUUUAAUACACAAACACAGUUGCAAAACUAAAAUAGAAAAUCUUUUUCAAGAUACACUAAAUGGCACAUUAAUGCAAUAAUACUUCCCACUGAAUCGAUCUGAUCUUUAUCAAAUUCAACUGUUCUUUUUAGCUUAUAGUUUUCUACCCGUGAUAUCAGUUUGCAACAAUACACUAAAUUUGGUACCAGUUUACACUCAAGAUACACCUUAAUCACACUUUCCUUACUAUUCUUCAUAUCAUCCAUAGUCAUGGACAACGACAGCAAAGCUGUAAGUUUAUUUAUAACUGGCAGCGAACAUGUUUUGAUUUCUCCAAGAAGAAACAAAAAUGGAAAAUUCUGUUUGUUCAAGAAAUAUGCUACAAUUUCCAUCAAGUACAUCUGCCAAUGAUUUAUCAAUAAACUGACACCAUUCCUCUGUUUCAAUUGGUGUGUCUUCAAAAUUGAAACUGUGAAGAGUAAACACUGCAGCACUACUAGUCUUUCCACUCAUAACAGUCAACACUCUUUCUUCAGUAAAUGGAGCAUAACUCUCCUCAUUUAUGUUUGGCAAAUUUGGUCUUCCAUCUUGCAUUAACUCUAACACUGUAUUGGAAAGUCUGCUCCCCCUUCUAGAGGAAUCUAUUCAAUUUGCUAGGCAACUGACCAUACUAUCUUUGCGAUCUUCUAGAGGUACUGGUCCAUAUGUCUGAAAGUCUUUGACAUCCUCUUCCUUGAACCCUGGCUCCUGAGAUAUUCUGCUGAGUUUCCUGACUGAUGCCCCAA